rnacentral:tRNA from 1 species
GGGCGGAUAGCUCAGGUGGGAGAGCAUCGGCCUUACAAGCCGGGGGUCACAGGUUCGAGCCCUGUUCCGCCCACCA